AUAUUGGCCGCACGAUCUUUGUUGAACGGUUACUAUGUCCCCAGUAAGGGGAUCCGAAGAUGAUAUAAAUCCGUCUUUUUUCAUUCCCUUUUAAUUGACAAAGAUGACUUUGAGGCCAAUAACAAGGCCCAAUAUUAACCGGGCUUAUUUUGAUACUUAAUCGGGUCAAAAAGACCCGAAGCCUGCUCCGUCCCAAUUUGCCUGUGACGGUCACGCUCCCCUCUGUCUUCUAGUAACUUCAGUAAACUAUCGAGCUCGAAAUCCCUCUCUGAUUGCAGUGCUUCAUCUCUCCAUCUCUCUCUCUCAUCUUUCUCUCUCUAGAACCUCAUUGUUCCCAUCGAAUGACGAGUCCGCAGCCGGCGUCUCUGCGGCCAUGGUUCCUCGAAUUGGUGCCGAUCGUGGUGGUUCUCCUAAUAGUAGCUCACGUCCUCGCUCUGGUGUACUGGAUAUACAGAUUAGCUACUGAGAAGGAGAGGCAGCCCCAGAGGAGAAAAGCACACUGAGGAGGAACAGGUUGAUUUGUGAAAUUAAAGAAAUUAAAAACCCUAAUUUGUUGAUUUCUUGUGGAUUAGUAUUAAUUAAGUUUGAUUAAGAGCAAGUGAUUUCUGUUAGUUAUCUGUGUACUAAUAGAUUGUGGAUUUCUGAGAAAUUGAUCAAUUACACGGUAUAAGAAUUGGCAGAGAUCCAUCUGAGUGUUGUGAAUUAUUAUUAUUAUUUUUUAAUAUUUAAUUGCAGUUUUGAUUUGUGAAA